UCCUAUGAUGGCAUGAAAUCUUUGAGACCUGAUCUUAAAUUAGCGAUGAAAAUUAUAAGCUGAGGAU